UACGAAGGGGGCUAGCGUUGCUCGGAAUUACUGGGCGUAAAGAGCUCGUAGGCGGUUUGUCGCGUCGGCCGUGAAAACUUGGGGCUUAACUCCAAGCUUGCGGUCGAUACGGGCAGACUUGAGUUCGGCAGGGGAGACUGGAAUUCCUGGUGUAGCGGUGAAAUGCGCAGAUAUCAGGAGGAACACCGGUGGCGAAGGCGGGUCUCUGGGCCGAUACUGACGCUGAGGAGCGAAAGCGUGGGGAGCGAACAGG
rnacentral:rRNA from 1 species